rnacentral:lncRNA from 1 species
CCGUAGUCUUGACAGUUGUAGCAGCGCAGCUUGCGGAUGUCGAAGUUGCUCCUCGUCUUGCCGGCGCCACCGCGCUCACCUUUCCGCGCCUCCCACUGCGCUGCCGUGAGCAUGAGCUGGCCGCCGCCUCGUCCGCCGCUAUCCUGAAUGUGUCGCCUUGUCCGCUCCUCGAACGCCUUCAGCCGCCCGAGCGCCUCCUCGAACGUCAUCUUGUCGACGUCGCAGAACUGCUCAAUUCCGGCCACCGCUGCGUACAGCCGGUCCGGCACGGUGUCGAGCAGUUUCUUCACCAUUG